AACUCAAAGACAAUCGUGUUGGGGUCGAAGGGAUAAUGUCGCGCUACAGUACAAAGGCAUCUCCUUCCAGGCGACUUCGAGGCGACUCCGUCGCCGGCGUCGAUCUCGCUGGCUGGCCUCUCCUCUGCUUGCCUUUUAGGCACCGGAGGAGUUGGAGAGACAGCAGAUCGACGCCCGGCGGUUGUAGUUCAGUAGGUUUGAGCAUCUGUUGUUGGCGACUCCACCCUCUCUAGCUGGGACUUGGAUAGGGUUCGCCGGGAGUGGCUUCCUCUGUGGCUUGUUUUCCUGGGUGGCGUCGACGAGGCGAAGGCGGCGGCGGCGCUGGGGAAUGUUGUCUCCAGGCUUCUUCCUCGCUCCGGUGGCGCUUCUCUCCUGCGUCGGCGGUGGAGUCGUGGAGUUUUGAGCUGGAGGUCGGGACUGGAGCUUCUUCGCCUUGGUCAGGUGAUGUUGCUGCUGGUCUCCUACUUCUUCAAGGGUAUGGAGCAUGCUUUAAGGUUGGUGGGCGAUGGCCGGCUAGAUCUGAGCCAACCUUUCCUCGACGGCGACGGUGGUCGUCACUGGCGAGCUCAGAUCCAGGAGCUGGAGGAGGCGGGGCGCAGCCCCGGUCGAUGGGCGACCGCCGACGGCUUCUUCAACUUCGACUCCUCUCAAAGCCAGCGUGCGAUGGGUCUUCUUCAGCUCAAGGGGUGCUCGUCUUCCUCUCCGGUGGCGGUGGCCGGCGGCGAGGAGGGCGGUCAGAGGAGGUUUGCGGAAGAUCCAGGAGCAUAUCUGUAAUUUUUGUUUUGGUUGGGUCUCUCGCGAAGUUUGGUUGGCGUAGCUGUAUCCUGUCCGUGCGUGUCUGUAUCCGUAUUUCCUGCUGUAUGUUUUCCUAAACUAUAAAUACUGAUGCGAUAUUAUCAAAAAUAAAAAAAUAAAAAAACUCA